GUUUGUGAAAGAAAGUGCGCGCGUAUAAUAUUAAUACAAUUUAUGUUAUUUAUCUGGCCUGAUAUAUACAUACUACAUACAUACAUGCAUAUGUACACAUAUACAACUUGAAAUCCACCACUCCAUUCCAUUCAUUGGGACGGACGCAAAACAAUUGCCGCCGCAUUACCUUCAAUGGAGCAACAGCCAAAGCGAUCUGCGUAUAACAUUGAGCGUCCCACCUUAAACUUAACGGGUACCGAAGCUGCCACAGAAGCUAGUGGAGCAACUGGAGCACGCAUCAUGCCCGGCUCCGGAUCCGGUGCGGGCUCGACGCUAUCGCCGGGCUCGACAACACCUAUAGGAGCGUCAGGAAACGUGAGUUUUUUACCAGAAAUGCCGCAGUGGAAAAAGGAUUUAAUACAACGUCGCAAGACAAAUGUGGCACGCACCGUUGGGGCCACAUCGCCGAACAGUGCAGCUGCAACAAAUGCCGCAUUGACACUUGCAUCUCCGGAUGGAAUGGCGGCAAUGACUUUAAACGCAACGACAGAUUCAAUUGUGACUGAAGAAGCCGCUACCAAAGUCUUAGCAACCGCAACAAUAACUAGUCAAGAAGAACAUAAACAAAAAUAUCUUAAAAGAAAUGUGAACCAAACGGCGUUUAAAGCAACAUCAACAACUACUACAGCAAUAGCACCUGAAGAAAAGUCUGAGAAAUGUUUUAUUGUUGGAGGUCAUCACACGAUUCUAACACCAACAGCAGUCAACGUUGAAGCACCAGCCUCGGUCUCUUCGGCAGAACCAGAAACAGCAACAGAAACGGCAGCGCCAGCAAUGUUAUCAACAACAACAAGCACAAAAACUGGCAAUACACCAAUACCAAAGCAACGAUCAAGUUUAUUUAACGCAACAACAACACAAGCAGCAGUGGUAACAAAUACAAGAAGUCAAUCAACUAGCAAAGAGCCGGAGAAUCUAAAUUUGACUGCGAGAGAGUGCGGUGAGCGCAUGGAACCCGUGGGAGAGCAGCAGCGCCCCAUUGAAACUGGAAUGGUGAAUAGCCGCGCUCGUGGUGAAUUUGGUAAAUCAACCAGAGAGCUUACGACGGCGACAACUAGAGCAUUAACAACCGGCAGCAGUGCCAACGACGACGACAGUGCCGGUGGAGGCAGUGGCAGCGCAGACGCGAAUCAAACGGUAACAACGUCGUCGUCAGCAAAUCAGUUGCAAACGCAAUGCAAAGUUGUUCAGAGAAGUAAGUUUAUUAAAAAUAAGCAACAAUUGGAACUGGCCGUCAGUGGAAUUGGCAGUGGCAUAAAAAUGCCAGCUUCGCCCCCAAAAGUAGCGGUAAAAACUACAAUGGCUGCCAUGAAAGAAAUGAAAAAGUCUACAAAACAAAAUGGCGAAAAUAAUCGCCAUCAAAAUCAUCACCAGCACCAACAACACCAGCAUGGGACCCUAAAUAACGGUGCCCAAAACGAGGUGGUUGACACCGGUGAGGAUCUUAGUUACGGGCCCGGCAUUGUCUCCAAGCUGCGCAGUCGCUAUUUAAGCCUCGCAUUGCGUGAAUCUGUGCGGCAAGAGCACAAUCAAAAUCUGCGUCGCUCCAUAAGUCUCAACACGCUCCACGACCGAGAAGAUAAUGAUGAAGAGGAGCAUGAACAGGAACAGAUAAUCGAACGACAACAGCGGCCACCCCCAAUUGGUGUCAAGCCAACAAUUGUUGGUAGCUAUAUAAAGAGCCCUCAUGUGGCCCAGCGACAGGUGAGUGGUGGUAGUAGCAAUGGCAAUACCACUACCUCAGCCCCCGCGCCGCUCCGAUAUGUCAAUAUAUCUCAGUCGGCAGCAGAAAGUCAAACACAACAACAACAGCAGCAGCAACAACAACAAUCAAAUGGCUCAACACGCUCGCGGCACUUCAAACGCGGCAACGAGGUCAUGAAGCGUGCGCGUUCCGUUGAGGCGCUACUCUGUGAGAAGUCGCCCUGGAACACACAACGUGCCAGCUAUAAUGCGCCACCCGUAAGCGUUUCAUCUGGGAACCAUAACAACAACAACAGCAGCAGUACCAGCUCCUGUGUAACCAUUGAGGAUAAGAUACACAAUGCCCGGGAACGGCUGCAUAGCGGCACUGAUGCUGCGCCACCCAAGCGUCUGACCUCAAUUAUUGAUGACACCGAAAGGCCGCCACCGGAUUUGGUUAAGCAGACGCUUAAAAUGUUUGAGGCCACUGCAAAUCGAAGGCCACGACCAGCUCAGCGAAAAAAUGGAGUGGGCGGUGUGGCUAGCAAAGUGGCCAACUACAAGUCUAUUAUCAAGGAGCAAAAGCCUCUCUCUAUUCCAUCAGCUCUGACACCCAAACCUCGAUCCGAUUGUAGUAAUUUGAGGGAGCGAGAGACGGGAACAGAGACAGCAUAUUCGCCCAUGACUAUGAUUACCCAAACACUUAACCAUAUGCAACUGGAUGAUUCGCCGAGUGAUUCAAGUGGACGGACCCAGAAAAAUCAACAGACUGAGGCGACUGUUUUGCCUACGGCUGGUAAUAGUGGCGGCGUCGGCGGCACUAAUCAGCAAAGAUUAAUGAGCAGGUCCCCCAUGCCCAAAUAUACACAUGACUUUGAACUGGCCAGUGGCGCUUACGUAUCGACGCCGAAAUCUCGAUCCGAUUGUACUAAUUUGAGAGAACGAGAGACGGGAACAGAAACAGCAUAUUCUCCUAUGUCUAUGCUUACCCAAACGCUUCACCAUAUGCGACUUGAUGAUUCGCCAAGUGAUUCAAGUGGACGGGGCCAGAAAAAUCAACAGACUGAGUCGACCGUUCUGCCUGUGGGUGGUAGUAGUGGCGUCGGCGGCGCUAAUCAGCGAUUAGUCACCAACGAGAACCAAAACGAAGGCUCGCACGAACGCAACAACGACAACUGCUCACACGACGACGGCGACAAAAACGACAACGAUGGUGAUAAUACCGAUGACGAUCAGCGCCAGCACAAUGAUGAUGCGACCGCGGGGCGGACUGAGGCUCAUUCUGACGCCUAUGCAAACAACAACGAUGGUGACGGCGACGACGACGACAACGACGACGACGCUUAUAGUGGCGGUCUUUUGGGCGCGGCAGGGCCAAGUCAGAGCUCUACAAACGAUAAGCAGCCCCAGUCCGCACUAAUGUGUGAAACGCACGCCAGCACAGAAGCAGAAACAACAGCAGCAGCAGUAGCAGCAGGAGGAUUAGGAGGAGGUAUCGCCAUUGCCGCCAAUCGCCAAUUUGUUAGUGCCAACAAUAGCGACAGUUCAACCAAGUUGAGCAGCAGAAUACUGUCCGCGCAAACGGAUCACGAACCUGCCAAACUAUUUAACAUUACGCGUCCGCUCUAUAGCAGUGACUCUGGCGGCACCGGAAGCAGCGGCUCACCCUCAACACUAACCAGCCGGGAGAUUGAAAAGAAUCGUAUCAAUGAAAUGAAGUCGACGGCACUGAACGCAGAUGCAGCAUCGCAUAGCGGCGCCACCAGCAGCAGCAACAGUAGUCUAACUAGUCUCGAUACCGUGAUAAACACCAAGCCACAUCCCCAUACCACCACAUUGAGCGGCACAACGCAGGAUAAUAGCGAAACAGAUGCCUCUGCCUCGCCUAUUUGGGCAUGGCGCAAACGGCGCCAACCAACAAGCUCAAGCGGUAUUGGUGGCAGUGCCGGCAGCUGCAAUACCGAGCAAACCUCAAUGGUAUUCAAUUUUUCAAAAAGCACCAAGGAGGUGCCGGACUACAUUGAAAGCGAAGUUGUGAUCUACAGGCGUAAGCGGGAGCUGCCCAAGCCAAAUGAGCCGGGCUUUGUUCUGCUCGGAGAUCUGUCGGUGGAAACGUCCACCGAUUCGGAUUAUGAUGAAUAUUCCAUGUGUCCACCAUCACCGUGUGAUGUGGAAUUCGAGAAUGCAAAUAUUGUGAUUGAUGGCAAGUCCAGCAUACGUCAGAAAGCCAAAGAAUCAUCGUUCCGCGUACAGUUUAGCGAUACAUUAACAUCAACGUUUGAAUAUCCCUCCGAGUCAUCGCUGGUAAUCGAUGACCCACCGUAUGCUGAUCCAUAUGGCAAUAUGAAGAAUCAUCACCAACAGUUGCAUCAGCAUAAGUUGCAGCUGUUGGAGGAACAGCAGCAGCAGCAACAGCAGCAGCAGCCGUUCCAUCAUCAUGUGACCGUUGAUGAAAUAAUUGAGCUUCCAACUUCGACAGCCAUGCAUAAUAAAACGCCACCUGGCAGUAGUACAUUGGGGAAUUUACCGUUAGAUAUUGAUAUAGAUACUGAAACCGAAACCGUAAGCGUAAGCGUAAUCGAAACCGUAACCGUAAAAGUCGUCACGAAUGCGCUAGCGUUGCCGCUGCCAUUGCCCAUGGCCACAGUUCAGCCAACGUGCCGCAAAAAGCACAACGCAAAUGUUUCGCAUAGCCAACAGUCAGCUGUCAUUGUUCCACCUGUACCCGCUCCUCCUCUACCCCUGCCACAACCGCCACCCACACCUCAAGCUCCAGCUCCAGUGGCCGGCAGCGUUGUCUUCACUCAAGCGGCUGCUAUGGCUACUAACGGCGACAACGAUGGUGCCAGUACCAAUACCGGUAAAGGUAAUGGUAUUGGUGAUGGUGAUCGUGAUCGUGUGGGUAAGGGUAAGGGGGGCAGCGGUUGCUUCUGCUUGUGGCAAGCGUUGUUGCCACUGGGCAAGCAGAUCUUGCCCAUGCGUCGCAGACCGGCCGUGUUGCGUAAACCCCAAUAUGCCUGCUUCCUGCAACAUGAUGCAGUGCAGCACCAACAGACACGCAGUGCUUCCUUUUCAUAUGGCAGGCAGCAUCAACAUCAGCCGCAGCAGCAGCAGAGUAAAUAUGACUCUACAUCUAGAACUUUAUCUAGCCAGCAACAUUUUAGCAGCAAGCGUCGCCCAAGUUUGCCCAAUCAAGUAAGCGAUGCGCCUGCCACCUCAUCUGCUUCCGCCUGUACCUCUGCCUAUCCAGCACCUGUGCCCAGCUUGAGGGCUAAAAGGUUCUCAUCAUCAACGUCGCUAGUGCUGCCCAAUGCCAGCACCGCCUUGUUACAGUCGCGCAUACCCGGAAACACGCUCUACUAUGUCUGACCUUUGCAGCAGCGAACUGCAGCGCCAACAACAACUCCAGAAACUCCAGCAACUGCCACACCAUGCCGCACCAAGUGCCUCUGCUUGCUGCCCAAUUUCCGCUCGGGACAACUGCACCCAGAACUUGAACUUCUUCUUAGCUUCUGCACCACCACUGCAUACGAAAUAUAUUAUUUAAAUGUGUAACAAAUAUAUAAGCAAUGCCUUGUCAAAUAAUGUCUAUAUAUAUCCAUAUAUAUAUAUAUAUAAAUAUAUAAACAAAGCAUACAAUUUAUAUAAUAUAAAUAAAGGCAAAGGCAAUCGUCCAACUGAUACUGACACUGAUGAUCAUGAAAAUUGAACAACAAGAACAACAAAUAAUAAUAUGCCCAUAUGCCACACCUCUAACCAAAAUGCACUGCUGCUCAAAAAUUGCUACCUCUCUACUCUACUCGUAGCAACCAGGCCAAAACUAAUAAAAACUAAUCGCCAAAUCAUUAUACUUAUUAAGGCUCACCAGCACUUGGCUUUUAUACACCCAUGAAAGGCUCCCGCAAUCUAUUCCAACUGGGCGUAACACGCUAUAGCCCAACUGAUAGCAGCACUUCCACCCCAGCGAUAAAUGGAAACGGGACCAGCAACAGCAAC